UAGGGAAUCUUCCACAAUGGACGCAAGUCUGAUGGAGCAACGCCGCGUGAGUGAAGAAGGGUUUCGGCUCGUAAAGCUCUGUUGUUGGUGAAGAAGGAUAGAGGUAGUAACUGGCCUUUAUUUGACGGUAAUCAACCAGAAAGUCACGGCUAACUACGUGCCAGCAGCCGCGGUAAUACGUAGGUGGCAAGCGUUGUCCGGAUUUAUUGGGCGUAAAGCGAGCGCAGGCGGAUUGAUAAGUCUGAUGUGAAAGCCUUCGGCUCAACCGAAGAACUGCAUCAGAAACUGUCAAUCUUGAGUGCAGAAGAGGAGAGUGGAACUCCAUGUGUAGCGGUGAAAUGCGUAGAUAUAUGGAAGAACACCGGUGGCGAAGGCGGCUCUCUGGUCUGUUACUGACGCUGAGGCUCGAAAGCAUGGGUAGCGAACAGG
rnacentral:rRNA from 1 species